GAUGCAAGCGUUAUCCGGAAUCAUUGGGCGUAAAGCGCCUGUAGGUUGUUUAAUAAGUCUGUUGUUAAAGACUAGGGCUCAACCCUAGGAAAGCAAUGGAAACUACUAGACUUGAGUAUGAUAGGGGUAGAGGGAAUUUCUAGUGUAGCGGUGAAAUGCGUAGAUAUUAGGAAGAACACCGGUGGCGAAGGCGCUCUACUGGAUCAUUACUGACACUCAGAGGCGAAAGCUAGGGUAGCAAAAGGGAUUAGAUACCCCUGUAGUCCUAGCCGUAAACGAUGGAUACUAGAUGUUGCGUUUAUUAUGCAGUAUCGUAGCUAACGCGUUAAGUAUCCCGCCUGGGGAGUACGCUCGCAAGGAUGAAACUCAAAGGA
rnacentral:rRNA from 1 species